rnacentral:rRNA from 1 species
UGGAUCCAGACUUUGAUCAUGGCUCAGGACGAACGCUGGCGGCGUGCCUAACACAUGCAAGUCGAACGAAGCUUGACGAAUGAUUUCUUCGGAAUGAAUUCUGAUAUGACUUAGUGGCGGACGGGUGAGUAACACGUGAGCAACCUGCCUCUCAGAGAGGAAUAACGGCUGGAAACGGUCGCUAAUACCUCAUAACGUAUAUUUAGGGCAUCUUAGAUAUACCAAAGAUUUAUCGCUGAAAGAUGGGCUCGCGUCUGAUUAGAUAGUUGGUGAGGUAACGGCUCACCAAGUCGACGACCAGUAGCCGGACUGAGAGGUUGAACGGCCACAUUGGGACUGAGACACGGCCCAGACUCCUACGGGAGGCAGCAGUGGGGAAUAUUGCACAAUGGGCGUAAGCCUGAUGCAGCAACGCCGCGUGAGGGAAGACGGUUUUCGGAUUGUAAACCUUCGUCUUUGGUGAAGAAGAAAGUGACGGUAACCAAGGAGGAAGCCACGGCUAACUACGUGCCAGCAGCCGCGGUAAUACGUAGGUGGCAAGCGUUGUCCGGAAUUACUGGGUGUAAAGGGAGCGCAGGCGGGACUGCAAGUUGGAUGUGAAAUACCGAGGCUCAACCUCGGAGCUGCAUCCAAAACUGUAGUUCUUGAGUGAAGUAGAGGUAGGCGGAAUUCCGAGUGUAGCGGUGAAAUGCGUAGAUAUUCGGAGGAACACCAGUGGCGAAGGCGGCCUACUGGGCUUUAACUGACGCUGAGGCUCGAAAGUGUGGGGAGCAAACAGGAUUAGAUACCCUGGUAGUCCACACUGUAAACGAUGAUAGCUAGGUGUGGGGGGUCUGACCCCUUCCGUGCCGGAGUUAACGCAAUAAGCUAUCCACCUGGGGAGUACGGCCGCAAGGUUGCAACUCAAAUGAAUUGACGGA